GACGAACGCUGGCGGCGUGCCUAAUACAUGCAAGUCGAGCGGACGGAUGGGAGCUUGCUCCCAGACCGUCAGCGGCGGACGGGUGAGUAACACGUGGGCAACCUGCCUGUAAGACUGGGAUAACUCCGGGAAACCGGGGCUAAUACCGGAUAACUCUUUCCCUCACAUGAGGGAAAGCUGAAAGAUGGCAUCUCGCUAUCACUUACAGAUGGGCCCGCGGCGCAUUAGCUAGUUGGUGAGGUAACGGCUCACCAAGGCGACGAUGCGUAGCCGACCUGAGAGGGUGAUCGGCCACACUGGGACUGAGACACGGCCCAGACUCCUACGGGAGGCAGCAGUAGGGAAUCUUCCGCAAUGGACGAAAGUCUGACGGAGCAACGCCGCGUGAGUGAUGAAGGUUUUCGGAUCGUAAAACUCUGUUGUCAGGGAAGAACAAGUACCGGAGUAACGGCCGGUACCUUGACGGUACCUGACCAGAAAGCCACGGCUAACUACGU
rnacentral:rRNA from 1 species